GAAAUGCGAUAAGUAGUGUGAAUUGCAGAAUGCAGUGAAUCAUCGAAUCUUUGAACGCACAUUUCGCCCUUUGGUAUUCCAAAGGGCAUGCCUGUUCGAGCGUCAUUUGUACCCUCAAGCUUUGCUUGGUGUUGGGCGUCUUGUCUCUAGCUUUGCUGGAGACUCGCCUUAAAGUAAUUGGCAGCCGGCCUACUGGUUUCGGAGCGCAGCACAAGUCGCACUCUCUAUCAGCAAAGGUCUAGCAUCCAUUAAGCCUUUUUUUCAACUUUUGACCUCGGAUCAGGUAGGGAUACCCGCUGAACUUAAGC
rnacentral:misc_RNA from 1 species